GACGAACCGUGCGAACGUUAUUCGGAAUCACUGGGCUUAAAGCGCGUGUAGGCGGGACGGCACGUCGGUCGCUGAAAUCCCCCGGCUCAACCGGGGAACGGGCGCCGAUACGACCGCCCUGGAGGGGCGUAGGGGGAUCGGGAACUUCCGGUGGAGCGGUGAAAUGCGUUGAGAUCGGAAGGAACGCCCGUGGCGAAAGCGCGGUCCUGGACGCUUACUGAGCUGAGACGCGAAAGCCAGGGAGCGAACGGG
rnacentral:rRNA from 1 species